GAUGAAACACUGGCCUACCACCAACUACACGCAAAGAUAUAUAAAUUGUCUAGAAAGUUCCCCAUUCACGUGGUAUUUUGAAAUCGACAUGUAUAUAUCUUAUAAAAGGAGAUUUACGUACUCUAAUACAAAUGUUUACCUUGUUACACUCUCAAGCAAUCUUCUGUAAGCCAUGCCAUACCUAGUUCUGACCCCAGAGCCCUACACACUGAAGACUUAAAUUCUGCAAGGUAGUCUUCCCUAAACAUUGUGCAGAUGAUGCAGUGCACAAAAUGUGAUGAAAAAAAUGAAGCAAGACUUGGAGACUCAUGUAGCAACCUAGCAGAAACUGACCUGCCAAGCAAUAUAGGGAUAAGCUGCAUGUUGAUGUGCAUCAGCCUACCCAGUAUGAAGUCCAAGUGCCUCCCUUAGACCCCUGGUAGUGGGGGUAAGCAAUGCAUUGUGACUGGACUGACCAGCCACCCCCGCCGCCCGGAAGAGGACUGUGAACUGAUGUGUACAGAAGUAAAAAUAUGGGCAGUGUUGUGAACGGAGCUGAUGGAACGCCGAUGUAAAACUCUCAUUCCUGUAAAUGAGAAAUCAAUCUGUAAUAGAUUUAUCAAGACUUUAUUUACUGCAUCCAAUUUUAAUUCCAUGAAAUGUCUGGGGACUUACCAGUCCUCGGAGAGUGUCUUUUGGAUGUCUUCAUUGAGUAAGCCAUUCGAUGAGGAUCUGUCAAAAAAUUAAUGCCUUGUCAAAAUUUCUAACCAGUGAAAUGCUAACACACAAAUAGCAUCUAAAUCCAGUCAUAACAAUGAUUUUUUUUAACUAGCUUUGUUUUAAUUAGCAUCGUCUGGAGAAUUUUUAAUCAUUCAGGCUUCAUAUAUUGCUUUCAGAUUCUUUUGUCUCUCCAUGAAAAAAUGUGCUCAUUUCUUACAUCAACAAAAUUUGGACUUUC